AUGCUUUGAAUUUAGGAGUGGGGGUGAUAAGACAUGGACUCAUGUGUUUGGUUUCGUAGACUCAGUCCAGACAUGAAGUUUUUAAGAAUUCAUCUGGUUCACACUAGCAUUCCUUGUCACUUCAGAGAGCAAAGACUUUAUUGUAAAGCUUACGUAAGACAAAUCAGUUCCAGCUCCCGCCUUAUUUCUGAAAGGAAUUAAUCUUGUGUGACUGUUCCCCAUUUUACAGUUCAGUAACAAAAUGACGAACACAACUGCCAAAAGGGUAGGGCCAGAUGGCCCGGAGGCUUUCCCCUCCUUCCUUCCUCAUCCCAGCCCUGGUGCUGAUUAGCCACAGAGAAACUGAAGGCACCUUCCUCCAGGCAAUCUGCUGCAGGCUUUCUCUGCUUUACACAACACAGGCCAGGCAAAGGCAGAAUGAGGACUCUGAGCCUUGGGUGACCAGUUGAUCUCUUAUUUGUUGCUGAAGGACACAGCUGUCUGGUGUCUCCAAAAAACAAACAACAACAACAACAAAAAACCAGCAAGAGUAAAAUGGAAGACCAGAAAAUGGUAUGUUAAAAAUACUGUUAUUAGGUUGUGGUGUAAGAAAUGUUAGAAAAGACUCCCACAAAGAAUCUGUUGUUUCUCUACUGAGUUUUAUUGAGUAGAGUGGCACUGAGCCUUCCACUGUACCAAAAUUGCCCUCAUUUGGGUGGUUAAUACCCCCUUUCUCUACCCCAAACAAGUCAGUCUCUUUUCCCGUCCAGAUUGAUUUCAGUUGAACAGCUGGAUACUGAUUUCCUCAGCAAACAGAAAAAAGUCACUGCGAACAUAAUCUUUAAUGGAAAAUGAGAGAACUAUUAAUUCACUGCACUGCGUGUAUUCCUUUUAUUUGCUAAAAUAUAUAUGAAUUGAACACUUAAAUAACUUUGAUAUUCAGACUUCAUGGCUUCCCUUAAAUGUUUCCUUUAAGAACUGAGAGACCCACAGCCCCUCUAUCUUCUCAAGAGAAUUGUAAUUCUGAGCCAGUUCCUUUACUCUCAUCUUUCACAUUCUAUCUUUAAAUCAAACUCACAGUGAACCUUCUUCUUUCCAGU
rnacentral:lncRNA from 1 species